rnacentral:rRNA from 1 species
UACGUAGGCAGCAAGCGUUGUUCGGAAUUACUGGGCGUAAAGAGUGUGUAGGCGGUGCUCUAAGUUUGGUGUGAAAUCUCCCGGCUCAACUGGGAGGGUGCGCCGAAAAACUGGAAUGCUUGAACGUGGGAGAGGAAAGCGGAAUUCCUGGUGUAGCGGUGAAAUGCGUAGAUAUCAGGAGGAACACCUGCGGUGUAGACGGCUUUCUGGACCAUUGUUGACGCUGAGACACGAAAGCGUGGGUAGCAAACAGG